rnacentral:rRNA from 1 species
UAAUACGUAGGGGGCGAGCGUUAUUCGGAAUUACUGGGUGUAAAGGGUAUGUAGGCGGCCCUUCAAGUCGCGUGUCAAAGUCCAGUGCUCAACGCUGGGUGUGCGCGCGAUACUGACGGGCUUGAGGGCUGGAGAGGUGAGCGGAAUUCCCGGUGUAGUGGUAAAAUACGUAGAGAUCGGGAGGAACACCAGCGGCGCAGGCGGCUCACUAGACAGUUUCUGACGCUAAGAUACGAAAGCGUGGGGAGCAAACAGG